AUCCAGCUGACGAGUCCUAAACAGGACGAAACACGCGUCCUGAU
rnacentral:hammerhead_ribozyme from 1 species